rnacentral:lncRNA from 12 species
GCUCUGGAAGGAGGAAAGACAUGAGUUUGCCAGGCUGUCCCCACGCAUCAGGAGGACGGCUGCACGGCGUCUCAGGCUCCGCGAGCAGGACAGCACCCACCGCGGACACAGGCAACCAAGGAGCCACAGGAGCCUGCCUUGCCGUGGCUUUCGAUCCGCUUCUCAAGGCCCUCCAGUGCCCGGUGGACUGGCCCUCGGCCUGGCGGGGAUUCAGAGGCCGGGCCAGCCGGAGCCCACUCAUCCACUCGUGAAUAGCUGCUGUUUCCUGAGUGCGUCCUGCAUGACAGCCUCCCACGGACCCUCCAGAGCCACAGCGGCACCCUCGCCCCAUUCCACAGAUGGCGAACUGAGGCUCAUAGAGGCCGUGGGAAGAACAUGACCACAGACUCAAGCCUGGGAGUGGACGAGCCUCAGAAUCAGCGGAAUCAGGUAACCCUGAGAAGGAACAGACCUGGCUCCUACCGCCGUGGGUCUGCCCCUGCUCCCAGACCCGUCCAUCUGUGAUGGGCCCAUCUGUGAAAUGGGGACAGUCAUGCUCGCCGUGCUGCACUGGUGUGGGAACAACAGGUAGCCUAUGCUGAGACCUAAGGUAUAGCACGUGAUCAAGAAACGAGCCACCCCGAAGAGCACAGAUGGUGGCCUCCACGUGUCAGGGGGUCGGAGGGAACGGGUUUUGGGAGAAAAGAGGAGGAAGCCCUGGGGGUCCUGGGUGAGCGGGGGGCGCUGCUCAGGCCUGGCAGAUCUCAGAGCACCACACUCCUCGAGGCAGCACGUGGACUCCGCUGUCCCAGGACAACCCCACGCUGUCCACAGCAUCACGUGCCACCAAGAGGGGUACCUGCAGGCAUCACUCCCCUGUCUGUGAAGUGGGGCUCUCAGGAGAGGUUGGGGGACUGCUCUGUAAACCCCUUUAAUGGAGUGUGGGAUGCGGAGAGCCUCAGGGGAAGACCAGCACAGCCCUGCCAGCUGCGGUCUCCUCAUGUCCCCAGACCUGAGCAGUGCCCUACGUGGACAGGGGCAAAACCCAGGACCCAGGCCAUAGCCUUUCCUGAGAGAGGAGAGCACAGGAGUCUUGGCUUGCCAUUCGGGAUUGCUGGUGGUGGAGGCGGCUUCCGGGACACCCACGGGCAACAGAGACCAGCGAUGAGGAGCUCCUCGGUGCAGACCAGUUUUGGAGCUGUGUGUGGUGGCAGCCUUCAGAUCAUGUCGUUGGCCAUGGGGUGACAGCCCUUUCCUGGUGUGAUGAGCAUUGUGAAAGGUUUUUUUCAACCCAUCUCUCAUUUCAAAUGCCUGUAUGAGCGCUGGCCCCUCAGCUUCCAGGUGAGAAAGCAGAACAUUGCAUCCUCUGCCCAUCUCCUCACAGGGCACCCUGGCUGGAGAUACAGCCUUAUCUCUGUGUCACCGUUUCCUGCAAAUGAUGCUCUCCAUCACCAUGCACAGUAGCCCUCGCCCCCCCCCCCCAGGCUAACCUGUGUGCCAGGACCCUGUCCAGGGCAUACACACCAAUGGGACAGCCUCCGCGCCAACCUCCACCCAGCUUUCUGGGUUUUUGCCACAACUCACCAGAGCAUCAUUGGCUACCAAAACUCUCUUCACCUGUAAGAUGGACCCAGGAGUCCUCAAGCUCUUCUCCCUCCAUGUGAAAUGCCACACACCACCAGCCGUUCACACUGAGCCCACCUGUGGUUCCAUCCAACCAUGCUGUAACAGGCAUGCUGGCGUGCCCACACACUGGGAACAGCAUUUACACACAUAGUGCGUCCCUGUGUGUCAUAAGGUAGACAGA